CGUCAAGUCAUCAUGGCCCUUACGUGUAGGGCUACACACGUGCUACAAUGGUGCGCACAGAGGGCUGCAAACCCGCGAGGGGGAGCUAAUCUCACAAAACGCAUCGUAGUCCGGAUCGGAGUCUGCAACUCGACUCCGUGAAGUCGGAAUCGCUAGUAAUCGUGAAUCAGAAUGUCACGGUGAAUACGUUCCCGGGCCUUG
rnacentral:rRNA from 1 species